ACGAGAAUGCACAAGGACAAUUUAUCCCUAAACUCAAGCACUUCCUCCAGACAGCAAGUGUCGUCUGCUUGUGUUACGACAUGCUCCAUUUUGACGAGAGCUCCAUGGUCAGA
rnacentral:lncRNA from 1 species